rnacentral:rRNA from 1 species
UACGGGGGGGGGGCAAGCGUUGUUCGGAAUUACUGGGCGUAAAGGGCGCGUAGGCGGCUUUGCAAGUGACGGGUGAAAUCCCACGGCUUAACCGUGGAACUGCCUGUCAGACUGCAUGGCUUGAGACCAGGAGAGGUGAGUGGAAUUCCCCAGUGUAGCGGUGAAAUGCGUAGAUAUUGGGAGGAACACCAGUGGCGAAGGCGGCUCACUGGACUGGUACUGACGCUGAGGCGCGAAAGCGUGGGGAGCAAACAGG